rnacentral:rRNA from 1 species
AUACGGAGGGAGCAAGCGUUAUUCGGAAUCACUGGGCGUAAAGGACGCGUAGGCGGGUUUGUAAGUCAGGUGUGAAAUCCUACAGCUCAACUGUAGAACUGCACUUGAAACUACAGACCUAGAGUAUGGAAGGGGCAGAUGGAAUUAGUGGUGUAGGGGUAAAAUCCGUAGAUAUCACUAGGAAUACCGAAAGCGAAGGCGAUCUGCUGGGACAUUACUGACGCUGAGGCGUGAAAGCGUGGGGAGCAAACAGGAUUAGAUACCCCAGUAGUCC